GCCGAGGUGGUGAAAUAGGUAAACACAAGGGACUUAAAAUCCCUCGCCUUUUAUGGCUUGCGGGUUCGAUUCCCGCCCUCGGCACCA
rnacentral:tRNA from 1 species